rnacentral:rRNA from 1 species
ACGUAGGAGGCGAGCGUUGUCCGGAUUCAUUGGGCGUAAAGAGCACGCAGGCGGUUUGGCAAGUCGGAUGUGAAAACCCGGAGCUCAACUCCGGACCUGCAUCCGAAACUGCCCGACUAGAGGUAGGUAGGGGAGAUCGGAAUUCCUGGUGUAGCGGUGAAAUGCGCAGAUAUCAGGAGGAACACCGGUGGCGAAGGCGGUUCUCUGGGCAUUACCUGACGCUGAGGAGCGAAAGUGUGGGGAGCGAACAGGA